CCUACGGGAGGCAGCAGUGAGGAAUAUUGGUCAAUGGACGAGAGUCUGAACCAGCCAAGUAGCGUGAAGGAUGACUGCCCUAUGGGUUGUAAACUUCUUUUAUAUGGGAAUAAAACAGGGUAUGCAUACCCUCUUGUAUGUACCAUAUGAAUAAGGAUCGGCAAACUCCGUGCCAGCAGCCGCGGUAAUACGGAGGAUCCGAGCGUUACCCGGAUUUAGUGGGUUUAAAGGGAGCGUAGGUGGAUUGUUAAGUCAGUUGUGAAAGUUUGCGGCUCAACCGUAAAAGUGCAGUUGAAACUGGCAGACUUGAGUACAGGAGAGGUGAGCGGAAUUCGUGGUGUAGCGGUGAAAUGCUUAGAUAUCUCGAAGAACUCCGAUUGCGAAGGCAGCUCACUGGACUGCAACUGACACUGAGGCUCGAAAGUGUGGGUAUCAAACAGGAUUAGAUACCCUUGUAGUC
rnacentral:rRNA from 1 species